rnacentral:rRNA from 1 species
UACGUAGGGUGCGAGCGUUAAUCGGAAUUACUGGGCGUAAAGCGUGCGCAGGCGGCGCGUUAAGACAGAUGUGAAAGCCCCAAGCUUAACUUGGGAAUUGCGCUUGUGACUGGCGUGCUGGAGUGUGGCAGAGGGAGGUGGAAUUCCACGUGUAGCAGUGAAAUGCGUAGAGAUGUGGAGGAACACCGAUGGCGAAGGCAGCCUCCUGGGCCAGCACUGACGCUCAUGCACGAAAGCGUGGGGAGCAAACAGG